GGGGGAACCCUAUUCAGGGAAAUAAAUAGAAAUAAAUGGUGCUCCUUUCUUAAAAGGUCACUUUUCUUCAAGGCUUUCACAAUGACUCAGCAUGCUCCACAGAUUGCUUGAAGCAGGCCUCCUAAUUUGACCAGUCCACCCAGGAGCAGCUUGUCUAAACCUCAGACAUCAGGAGAAGAGGCCUGUGGGACCCUUUCUCUCGAUUCUGAAGUGAUGGGAAAACAUGUUUACAUGACAGCUGGUCACAGGGCCAGUCUCCUCAGCAACAGCUCCCAGUCCUUAAACUCUGGACAGAGAUGGAAACCCACAGCUGAGCCUGCUGCAUUCCAGUCUACAGGAGGGGCACCCACAGGAAGGCCCACUGCCCGUUGCUGGGCCAGUGGGCUGCACUCUGUGGGCAGUACAGCAGUGUGGCACCAGCGAAGCCCUCAUACCCAAGGAAUCCAUGCAGUAGCAGACUCAAGAACUUGGUGCCACUAACGAGACUUUACGCCGAUGAGGACCACAAUGAGGACUACGAUGAUGACAACCAGUAUCAAGAUCACGAGCAUCUUCCGGUUCUUCUUUUGGUACUGCUCUGCCUACAAAAGAGGAGGGAAGGUGUCAUUUUCCCCAAAGACAGGACACAAGCCUGGCUUCUGCAGGAUGGGCUUACAUCCGCAGCACAGGACAGGCCUCAUGAUUAGACCUUCCUUCAGUGUGAACCACCAAGACCCUGAGCCAUGUCCCUGCACCCAGGACAAAUGUGCAUUGUCUUUCUUCCCUGUACAGGAAAGGGUGACCAGAAAGCAUGGAACCAGUGGCCCCAAAAGGCCCUGUCUCUACUUCCUCUGAACCUGGAAACAGAAUACCUCAUUGUCUGAGGAAGAAAUGGCCGUAUGUGCCCAUCUGUGUUGGUUUAAGAGCCACCUGAGGACCAACCCUGCCCUUACCCUAGGACCGAUGGCACAUAGAAGAGCUCCCAAAGCCCCAUCUGCACACCUCCCCCUACAUGCAGCACCCAGAAGCUCUGCUCACCUGUGCCCACCUUCUCCUACAGAAGCACAGGGGAGCCAGCUCCCCAUCAAUAUGUGGUGGUACAGAAACACUGACUUACUCACAUGGCUGGGGACUGACACAGACCCUCAAAUGACAGCGAGCAGGAAGAGAUUGGGAGCUUAGCAUCCCACCACCCACCCAGAAAAGCCCCUCCUCACCUAAAAACAGGACAGGAGACCACACGGAGAACUGGCCAAUGGGAGCAGCUCCCAAGUCCCAGCUGCCUCCCCAUGGUGUGGGCUGAGGACAGCCCCAUUCUUCAGGGCAACCCCAAGAACCAAGGAGCCAAUGCAGACCACAUACUGAGAAAACUCUCCAAUAACGUCAGACCAAAAGAAAAGCUUGCCUCAGACCCAGUCCCUCCCAUGGAGAAGAUGUCUCUCCCCCUGUGUCUGCAUCACAACACAAACCACGUUUCCUAGGUAUGACUUAGGAAACUCCAGGACUGAUAGGCAAUUCAGCAGCACCUCCAACCCACUACAGAACAGGAAGCUCAGGGAGCUUCAGCUUGUGAGACACGGGCUGGCGCCUCCAUUACUCUAAAGACCUACUAAGCAAGACUUGUCCCUAGUUUGUGAGGGCAGCACAGGGACGGCAAAGCCGCUGUGCUUAGACCCUGCAACCUGGAACCAUGAGGAGAUAGAUGGGGGGGUUUCUGCUUUCAAAAGAAGAACAUGACUUGGGAAAAUGCUCAACCUAUGGCCAGAGGUACCAACUGGUAUCAAUGACAGGGAAGCAGACAGGAUUGAUUUGACCUGUUAGCAGAGCCGGCUGCAUUCCCUUCACAGGAGGCAUGUGUCCAACCACACACAUGACGCUCGUGUUCAUGAGCCCAUUUCUCAUAACUGAUUAUAGGAUUUCUAAAAUGAUUUCCAUCGACUUCUUAAAAAGAAAUUUAACAAACAUGCAAACCCCAUGAAAGAGCACAACCCUUGUCACCAAGAGCACAACCCACCUCACUUCUACAAUUCUUGAGAGUGAAACAGGAAGGGAUAAUUCGAUUUUUACCUUGUUGACAGUCCUCUACCAGCAAGUCAUCAGAAGUGAACCCCAGCACCCUAAGUUAGCGGCAACAAGAGAUGGCCUCUCAGCCCACACCCAGAGAAGCCAAUCAACUGACUUCUAACAAAACUCAGACAGAUAAAAAGCAGAAAGAAAACCCCAGCCCACAGAAGGAUCCCAGCCAUGCUGACCUCUCAGUGAGGCCUGCCUGACAACCAGACUACAGCAUGAUAGCAAGCCUCAUAGCUGCUCCCAUUUAUACCCCUUUGUGUCUUGGGUUGAGGACGUGUGACAAAAGAGAACCUCCUAGGAAUUCCCAAGAUUUGAUAACAGUUCCUAAAGACCCAACACAGAGAACAUUGGUACCUUGUGAAGCUGUUUCAAGCCAUCUUCGGUCUUGACACAGGACUGUUCAACAUUAUAGUCAAUUCUGUCAAGGACUGUACCCUGAGUAAUAAGAGACAGUACAGAUGGUCAAUAAUUACAGCUAGGGAGAUUGAGGGUCAAGCCCUGAGACAUGCGUAUCACAGACCUCGGGACUCAUUCCAGAGCAGUGUCCAACCCCAAGCAGUGCGGGGUACUCUGCAGAGUGCGGUGGUGUCAGCCGAGCAACAACAGCAUGGGUCUCAGCGGCUGAUCACUUCUGUAGCUAGGCCACCUUCAGAUGUAUUAGGGCUGGGAAACCCAUCACAGGAGUGGGCUCUGGGAAGCCAAGGGCCAUGGCUUUCCACUUCUUGCUGCUUAAAUACUGGGAUCUGGCAGAUGGAGAAUACCAACUAGGUUCUACCACCAUGGCCAGGCUGCUCCAAUCACUGUCUAAAAUGACAACUUGGACCUCAAGGACAGGUUAUUAAUCAGUCUCUUCCUGGUUCCUACAGGAAGCACGGAGAAAAGAUGGCAAUUCACUGGGAAACAAUGGCAGUUCAUCAGCUGGCUCUGAUGGUGCCUCAACGCUCUACACUCUGUAGCUGGUUUCAGGGGACCAGGACCCAAACAAAUCCCUGCUGGCAAGAUAAUAAAAACGCCCUAAUCAGAUUGUA